rnacentral:lncRNA from 1 species
UCUUCUGAGCAAGGUUUGGGUGGCCUCAGUUGUACCCCAGAAUAAAAUUGGUUUUCUUUAUUUUUAAAUAACAGGAAACAACAAGCAUAAUAGAGAAGAACGAGCAAAUAAUGAAGACACAUGGGAAGGUUUUGUGCAGUUCAAUGUUGCUGAAAAAUAGCAUUUCUUCAAUCAAGUGCCAAAAGAGGCAUGGGUGAAUUUUCUGCACCAAGGAGGUCUCCCUUUUGUCCUGCACCAAGCAAAAUUUGGGACUUGUGACCUCAGAGAGAGCACUCAUACCCGGGACCCUGCAACUGAAUCUGUGGAAAUCUGAAAUGUGUCUGGAAAUAAUGGAGGG